UCCGGCCGCGCGGGCGGCCUCGGGGACUGACCUUGGCGCCUGUGCCUGCCGGGCGCAUAGGCCAGGUCGACCUGGGGCAGGCGGGCGUCGGAGGGGCAGUUUUGAAGCCCGAGCGAAGAGGCAGAGGGCGGGAUGCGGACGAAGCCAGGGAGUUCACGAAACUUCUGGAGUUCUCAGUUUCCCCCUAAGUCGACUGGGGCUGGGUCCCGUGCCGCCAGGCGGGCUGGCUGAGGAGAUGGGCUGGGGCGACAAGACAGCAGCCACCUGGCCCGGGUACUUGGGGUCAGACCGGCUUCGAGGCCCCCGGACCGCCGUGUUAUCAGGACGGGUAGGGAGCCCACGGGACGCGUGGUGCUCAGAAGAGCGGGGAGGCGUGUGGACGGGGCCUGCCCGAGCUGCACCACCGCGUGCCUUCAGGCUGCGAGGCCCGCCCAGGCGAAGGCGGCAUCUCAGCCUCUAGCCCUUGGGGACCUUGAGAACGUCCUCUUAUGGGUCAGCCGUUCCUAGGGAGGCUUGUGGCUCCAGUUACUGGAAAAACCAGUGCUGGUUCACGCAGGAGGCCCCAGUACAGGGGGAAACAGAGGCAAGCUGGGGUCUCCCAGGCGGCCUCACCCACCCAGCCCUGUUCCAUGCCAGUCCCUGGACCCUUGGCCCAGUCAGAUGUUCAACUGCUCCAGCCCUGCCUCCGCUUCCCUGAAAGAUGCUUUUCCACCCAUCCACCCUCAGCAGCCAGAGGGACCCCGGGAAGAUGGGAGUGAGAGCUGCCUUCCUCUGCAAAAGUCACCAGGCACCACCUCACUGGUGAAGGCCAGAGACCCUACACUGUCCCAAGACCACCUGACUGGGCUGCCUCCCUGCCACCUGGCUGCCAGCCUCUCUCGGAGCGCCUGCAAGCUAUUCCUCCAACCCAGAGUUUCCUUCCCAGCUAAGGGCCUUUGCACCUGCUGUUCCUUCUGCCUGGAAGUUCACCGCAGACUAUCCCAGGGCCUCCAUCCUUCCCAUUGCAUGGUCCCCAUCAGCUGCCGCCGCCUCUGAGAGCUCAGUCUCCACUGGCCAUCCUGUCUCUCAGCCCACUGCACUCUCCACUCUGCCAGAAAGUCCCCCAAUCAGUGACAACACAGGUCAUGGUCCACACCUCACCUGGUUUGUCCACAGUGCCCAGCAUCUGGCACAGAGCAGCUGUGUGCAAAUCCUGGACAGAUUAGGAAGCAGAAGCUAAGCAAAAGCAGAAUCAAGAUUCAAACCCAGGCACGGAGAAACCAGAGCUGUCCAGCUGCUAGGAGAAAACGGGGCCUCAGAGAUGAUGGCUGAGCCGUGAAAAGGUGGGGUCAGAAGCCAGGCCCAGUCUCCUGAAUUCCAGACUCCAGAAUCUCCCCCAGGAUUGAGGUAUGUUCCACAGAAAGAAUCCCAGCUACACCUACCCCAGUCACUGGACCUGCCCAGCCCUGGAGGCAUGGCCAG